rnacentral:rRNA from 1 species
GACGAACCGUGCGAACGUUGUUCGGAAUCACUGGGCUUAAAGGGCGCGUAGGCGGUUGAUCAAGUCCGGGGUGAAAUCCUCCAGCUCAACUGGAGAAGUGCCUUGGAUACUGGUGUGCUCGAGGGAGGUAGGGGUCCGCGGAACUUCUGGUGGAGCGGUGAAAUGCGUUGAUAUCAGAAGGAACGCCGGUGGCGAAAGCGGCGGACUGGAUCUCUUCUGACGCUGAGGCGCGAAAGCUAGGGGAGCAAACGGG